UUUCUUUAUUCUCACGCAGUUCAUGCUGAGUUAGAACUUAGAACUUCCGAUUGGCACCAACCAGAGGCAGACAACACAAAGAGGAAGGGUUUAUGGUAACUUAUAUAUCUUCACACUCUUACUCAGGCUUCGCUAGAGAAAGAUGAAAAACCUUAAACGCUCUACAAAGGCAUGACCUUCAAUUCCCAAUUGUUUUUAGGGUUUAUUUCCAGGUCCUCCAAAUCCUCUAAAGCCAACGGUUUCAAUUUGUCUCGCACUCUGAUUUGCUUAAGCUGAAGAUCAAGCCUGUGCAAACUGGGUUUCAUGCAAGGAAUUUUUAGUAUUGGAAGCAUUUGUUAAGUUGAGCCAUAUGCAAUGUAUGGCCAAGCUAAUUAUGGCCAUCAGUUUGGGCAGGGUCCUCGGAUACCCAUGACACCUGUAAACAACCAACAGCGCCCACCAGCUCUGCCUCCACCUCCUGUUCAAUACCAACAGGGACCUCCACCCCCUCCGCCUCCUGUAGUUCAGCAGGCUACAUCUGUUGUCCCACC